rnacentral:rRNA from 1 species
AUUGAACGCUGGCGGCAUGCCUUACACAUGCAAGUCGAACGGUAACAGGUUAAGCUGACGAGUGGCGAACGGGUGAGUAAUGUAUCGGAACGUGCCCAGUCGUGGGGGAUAACUGCUCGAAAGAGCGGCUAAUACCGCAUACGACCUGAGGGUGAAAGCGGGGGAUCGCAAGACCUCGCGCGAUUGGAGCGGCCGAUAUCAGAUUAGGUAGUUGGUGAGGUAAAGGCUCACCAAGCCGACGAUCUGUAGCUGGUCUGAGAGGGCGACCAGCCACACUGGGACUGAGACACGGCCCAGACUCCUACGGGAGGCAGCAGUGGGGAAUUUUGGACAAUGGGCGCAAGCCUGAUCCAGCCAUGCCGCGUGCGGGAAGAAGGCCUUCGGGUUGUAAACCGCUUUUGUCAGGGAAGAAAAGGUUCUGGCUAAUACCUGGGACUCAUGACGGUACCUGAAGAAUAAGCACCGGCUAACUACGUG